UACGGAGGGUGCAAGCGUUGCUCGGAAUUAUUGGGCGUAAAGGGUAGGUAGGUGGUCUCAUUUGUCUGGGGUGAAAGCCUUGAGCUUAACUCAAGGAGUGCCCCAGAAACGGUGAGACUAGAGUCCUGGAGAGGGUCGUGGAAUUCCCGGUGUAGCGGUGAAAUGCGCAGAUAUCGGGAGGAACACCGGUGGCGAAGGCGGUUCUCUGGGCCUGUACUGACGCUGAGGAGCGAAAGCGUGGGGAGCGAACAGG
rnacentral:rRNA from 1 species